CUUGGGAGUACGCCCGCAAGGUUGAACUCAAAGGAAUNGACGGGACCCGCACAAGCGGUGGAUGAUGUGUUUAAUUNGAUGCAACGCGAAAAACCUUACCCACNUUUGACAUGUACGGAAGUUGCCAGAGAUGGUUCGUGCUCGAAAGAGAACCGUAACACAGGUGCUGCAUGGCUGUCGUCAGCUCGUGUCGUGAGAUGUUGGGUUAAGUCCCGCAACGAGCGCAACCCUUGUCAUUAGUUGCUACAUUCAGUUGGGCACUCUAAUGAGACUGCCGGUGACAAACCGGAGGAAGGUGGGGAUGACGUCAAGUCCUCAUGGCCCUUAUAGGUGGGGCUACACACGUCAUACAAUGGCUGGUACAAAGGGUUGCCAACCCGCGAGGGGGAGCUAAUCCCAUAAAGCCAGUCGUAGUCCGGAUCGCAGUCUGCAACUCGACUGCGUGAAGUCGGAAUCGCUAGUAAUCGUGGAUCAGAAUGUCACGGUGAAUACGUUCCCGGGUNUUGUACACACCGCCCGUCACACCAUGGGAGCGGGUU
rnacentral:rRNA from 1 species